rnacentral:rRNA from 1 species
GACGAACGCUGGCGGCGUGCCUAAUACAUGCAAGUCGAGCGGAGUGAAUAGAAGUGCUUGCACUUCUAUUCACUCAGCGGCGGACGGGUGAGUAACACGUAGGUAACCUGCCUGUAAGACUGGGAUAACUACCGGAAACGGUAGCUAAUACCGGAUAAUUUGUUUCCUCACCUGAGGAGACACUGAAAGGCGGAGCAAUCUGUCACUUAUAGAUGGGCCUGCGGCGCAUUAGCUAGUUGGUGAGGUAACGGCUCACCAAGGCGACGAUGCGUAGCCGACCUGAGAGGGUGAACGGCCAGACUGGGACUGAGACACGGCCCAGACUCCUACGGGAGGCAGCAGUAGGGAAUCUUCCGCAAUGGACGAAAGUCUGACGGAGCAACGCCGCGUGAGUGAUGAAGGUUCUCGGAUCGUAAAGCUCUGUUGCCAGGGAAGAAGAUUUGGGAGAGUAUCUGCUCUCAAAGUGACGGUACCUGAGAAGAAAGCCCCGGCUAACUACGUGCCAGCAGCCGCG